UACGUAGGGUGCAAGCGUUGUCCGGAAUUAUUGGGCGUAAAGAGCUCGUAGGCGGUCUGUCGCGUCUGCUGUGAAAAUCCAGGGCUCAACCCUGGACCUGCAGUGGGUACGGGCAGACUAGAGUGCGGUAGGGGAGAUCGGAAUUCCUGGUGUAGCGGUGAAAUGCGCAGAUAUCAGGAGGAACACCGGUGGCGAAGGCGGUUCUCUGGGCAUGUCCUGACGCUGAGGAGCGAAAGUGUGGGGAGCGAACAGG
rnacentral:rRNA from 1 species